rnacentral:lncRNA from 1 species
CCGUGGAUGCUUACACCAGCGGCUACGCGCCCGCCGAGAUCGUCUGCAUCCUCUCCGUCGACGCGCCGUCGUCGCAUGAGGACUUCGAUGUCUGGCUCGCCGACAACCUCCCCCAAAUCCUACACGAGGUUCAGGUAUAACAUCUACUUGGGUAAAUUUCUAAAUUGCACUUCUUUUUUGCAACUGUAUAUGCAAUUGAAGGAGACUCUUCUUGAUGAUCUUGCGUGCCAAAUCUUACAUGGACAGUUUGAUUGUGUGAUCCAGCGACAAAAUUCAUUGAGUAGUGCUGCUAUAUAUCAGUCAAGGGAAUGGUAUAGAGAAGAGAGGAUGAUGAUAAUACAAAGUGGGUGAGAUAGUAUGAGUGAUUAGUGAAGGGGCAUAGGCUUGGUACUACACCAUCGUACAAACAAGGAAGUGGUUAGUGUGCUAUCUUUGAUGUAAAAGAGGAAGAUUUCUUUCCUGACUCAUCUAAUGGUGGAUCGAUGAUUUAAGAAGCAUAUUCAGUUCUUCUCUCAAUUUUUUGGUGCCAAGCUUGAUCUUUAUCCAACUGACUGACUGACUAAAAGUACCUUCUAAUCACUAUUGAACGCAUAUAUUAGUUAGUUUGACUGUAUACACCACAUAAAGAGAAAAAAAUGAAUUCUAAAAAAGUUAGGCAUAGAUACUACAGAACCAGUGGACCCUCAAGAAACAAAAGGCACACCUGAAGGAUUUUUUCUUAAGAAAUGUAUUAAUUUGACUAUUUGAGUAUGCAAAAUGUGCAAUUUCAAUCUUUCCUUUUCAAGGAGAACAGGGGACUGCUACAUACUCAAUAUGGAUGGAG